UGGGAUUUUUAUUCGUCGGCGGAUAGAUUACAGUUGAGUCUACCGAGGAGGGGGUGGGUGCUAUCAUCAGAGGGAAGGGACGACGGCGUAGUCGUAGUCCGCCGCGAGGUACCCGGCGGCGCCGCCAGCGGCAGCUUGGUAGGUGAACUCUGGCUCCUCCGCCGCCGCCCGCUUGGCAAACCGCCCCUUGACGCGAGGCCUGGUUUCUGCGUAAGCCUUCCGGGAAGCGUAGCGGAUCGUCUUCUCGAAGCGGCGGCUGCUCCGCUUCUCCCUGUACC
rnacentral:lncRNA from 1 species